CGAACGAUGAAGCCCUUCGGGGUGGAUUAGUGGCGAACGGGUGAGUAACACGUGGGCAAUCUGCCCUUCACUCUGGGACAAGCCCUGGAUACGGGGUCUAAUACCGGAUAACACUCUGUCCCGCAUGGGACGGGGUUAAAAGCUCCGGCGGUGAAGGAUGAGCCCGCGGCCUAUCAGCUUGUUGGUGGGGUAAUGGCCUACCAAGGCGACGACGGGUAGCCGGCCUGAGAGGGCGACCGGCCACACUGGGACUGAGACACGGCCCAGACUCCUACGUGAGGCAGCAGUGGGGAAUAUUGCACAAUGGGCGAAAGCCUGAUGCAGCGACGUAGCGUGAGGGAUGACGGCCUUGCGCUUGUAAACCUCUUUCAGCAGGGAAGAAGCGAAAGUGACGGUACCUGCAGAAGAAGCGCCGGCUAACUACGUGCCAGCAGCCGCGGUAAUACGUAGGGCGCAAGCGUUGUCCGGAAUUAUUGGGCGUAAAGAGCUCGUAGGCGGCUUGUCACGUCGGAUGUGAAAGCCCGGGGCUUAACGUAGGGUCUGCAUUCGAUACGGGCUAGCUAGAGUGUGGUAGGGGAGAUCGGAAUUCCUGGUGUAGCGGUGAAAUGCGCAGAUAUCAGGAGGAACACCGGUGGCGAAGGCGGAUCUCUGGGCCAUUACUGACGCUGAGGAGCGAAAGCGUGGGGAGCGAACAGGA
rnacentral:rRNA from 1 species